GUCCGUAACUGUGGUCCAGUGGUUGAGCGUUGGACUUACGAUCCGGAGGCCCCGGGUUCGAAUCCCGGUGGGGACA
rnacentral:tRNA from 1 species